GCACAAGCGGUGGAGCAUGUGGUUUAAUUCGACGCAACGCGAAGAACCUUACCUGGGCUUGACAUCCCGAGAAUCCCCUGGAAACAGGGGAGUGCCUUUCGGGGAACUCGGAGACAGGUGCUGCAUGGCUGUCGUCAGCUCGUGUCGUGAGAUGUUGGGUUAAGUCCCGCAACGAGCGCAACCCUUGUCUUUAAUUGCCAGCAUUCAGUUGGGCACUUUAAAGAGACUGCCGGUGUUAAGCCGGAGGAAGGUGGGGAUGACGUCAAGUCCUCAUGGCCUUUAUGCCCAGGGCUACACACGUGCUACAAUGGGUGGUACAAAGAGAUGCCAACUCGCGAGAGCGCGCCAAUCUCAGAAAGCCAUCCUCAGUUCGGAUUGGAGUCUGCAACUCGACUCCAUGAAGUUGGAAUCGCUAGUAAUCGCGGAUCAGCACGCCGCGGUCGAAUACGUUCCGGCCUU
rnacentral:rRNA from 1 species